GACGCCAGUCUGCGUGGAGCCAACCUUGAAAUACCACCCUUUAAUGUUUGAUGUUCUAACGUUGGCCCCUGACCGGGGUUGCGGACAGUGUCUGGUGGGUAGUUUGACUGGGGCGGUCUCCUCCCAAAGCGUAACGGAGGAGCACGAAGGUUAGCUAAUCCUGGUCGGACAUCAGGAGGUUAGUGCAAUGGCAUAAGCUAGCUUGACUGCGAGCGUGACGGCGCGAGCAGGUGCGAAAGCAGGUCAUAGUGAUCCGGUGGUUCUGAAUGGAAGGGCCAUCGCUCAACGGAUAAAAGGUACUCCGGGGAUAACAGGCUGAUACCGCCCAAGAGUUCAUAUCGACGGCGGUGUUUGGCACCUCGAUGUCGGCUCAUCACAUCCUGGGGCUGAAGUAGGUCCCAAGGGUAUGGCUGUUCGCCAUUUAAAGUGGUACGCGAGCUGGGUUUAGAACGUCGUGAGACAGUUCGGUCCCUAUCUGCCGUGGGCGCUGGAGAAUUGAGGGGGGCUGCUCCUAGUACGAGAGGACCGGAGUGGACGCAUCACUGGUGUUCGGGUUGUCAUGCCAAUGGCACUGCCCGGUAGCUAAAUGCGGAAGAGAUAAGUGCUGAAAGCAUCUAAGCACGAAACUUGCCCCGAGAUGAGUUCUCCCUGAGACUUUAAGUCUCCUGAAGGAACGUUAAAGACGAUGACGUUGAUAGGCCGGGUGUGUAAGCGCAGCGAUGCGUUGAGCUAACCGGUACUAAUGAACCGUGAGGCUUAACCUU
rnacentral:rRNA from 1 species